UUAAGUUCAGCGGGUCUUCCUACCUGAUCCGAGGUCAAACUGGGGGGUGGAGCUUGAUGGACGCGGGCCCGCCGGUGCCUCGAGAAGCGCAAUGUGCUGCGCGAGAAGCUGGCACGACCGCUGCCAAUACCUUUGGGGCGAGUCCGCGCGCAAAGCGGGACAGACGCCCAACACCAAGCGGAGCUUGAGGGGGUAAAUGA
rnacentral:misc_RNA from 1 species